rfam:Brachypodium distachyon strain Bd21 chromosome 3, whole genome shotgun sequence.
AAGAUACUCCCGCCGUCCAACAAAAGAUGUCUCAGCUUUGAAAUUUGAAUGCAUCUAUACACUCAGUCAUAUCUAGACACAUCCAAAUUUUGGCAAAUUUGAGAUAUCUUUUGUUGGACGGAGGAAUAGUUU